rnacentral:rRNA from 1 species
UACGAAGGGGGCUAGCGUUGCUCGGAAUCACUGGGCGUAAAGGGUGCGUAGGCGGGUCUUUAAGUCAGGGGUGAAAUCCUGGAGCUCAACUCCAGAACUGCCUUUGAUACUGAAGAUCUUGAGUUCGGGGAGAGGUGAGUGGAACUGCGAGUGUAGAGGUGAAAUUCGUAGAUAUUCGGAAGAACACCAGUGGCGAAGGCGAACUUACUGGACACAU